UCUGUAGGACUGCGGAGGAUCAUUAGCGCGCAGGCCGGAGGCUGGCCCCCCACGAUAGGGCCAAACGUCCGUCAGGGGUGAGCAGAUGUGCGCCGGCCGUACCGCCCCAUUCUUGUCUACAUUACUCGGUUGCCUCGGCGGGCCGCGCUCUCCCAGGAGAGCCGUUCGGCGAGCCUCUCUUUAGUGGCUAAACGCUGGACCGCGCCCGCCGGAGGACAGACGCAAAAAAAUUCUUUCAGAAGAGCUGUCAGUCUGAGCGUUAGCAAGCAAAAAUCAGUUAAAACUUUCAACAACGGAUCUCUUGGUUCCGGCAUCGAUGAAGAACGCAGCGAAAUGCGAUAAGUAAUGUGAAUUGCAGAAUUCCGUGAAUCAUCGAAUCUUUGAACGCACAUUGCGCCCCCUGGCAUUCCGGGGGGCAUGCCUGUUCGAGCGUCAUUUCAGCCCCUCAAGCCCGGCUUGUGUGAUGGACGACCGUCCGGCGCCCCCGUCUUUGGGGGUGCGGGACGCGCCCGAAAAGCAGUGGCCAGGCCGCGAUUCCGGCUUCCUAGGCGAAUGGGCAACAAACCAGCGCCUCCAGGACCGGCCGCCCUGGCCUCAAAAUCUGUUUUAUACUUAUCAGGUUGACCUCGGAUCAGGUAGGGAUACCCGCUGAACUUAAGCAUAUCAUAAGCCGGAGGAAAAAGAUGG
rnacentral:rRNA from 1 species